rnacentral:rRNA from 1 species
GACGAACCGAGCGAACGUUGUUCGGAAUCACUGGGCUUAAAGGGCGCGUAGGCGGGCUGUCAAGUUUGGGGUGAAAUCUCACGGCUCAACCGUGGAACUGCCUCAAAUACUGACGGUCUCGAGGGAGGUAGGGGCGAGCGGAACUGAUGGUGGAGCGGUGAAAUGCGUUGAUAUCAUCAGGAACUCCGGUGGCGAAGGCGGCUCGCUGGACCUCUUCUGACGCUGAGGCGCGAAAGCUAGGGGAGCAAACGGG